rnacentral:rRNA from 1 species
GACGAACGCUGGCGGCGUGCCUAAUACAUGCAAGUAGAACGCUGAAGGAGGAGCUUGCUUCUCUGGACGAGUUGCGAACGGGUGAGUAACGCGUAGGUAACCUGCCUGGUAGCGGGUGAUAACUAUUGGAAACGAUAGCUAAUACCGCAUAAUAGUAGAUGUUGCAUGACAUUUGCUUAAAAGAUGCAAUUUCAUUCCUACCAGAUGGCCCUGCGUUGUAUUAGCUAGUUGGUGAGGUAACGGCUCACCAAGGCGACGAUACAUAGCCGACCUGAGAGGGUGAUCGGCCACACUGGGACUGAGACACGGCCCAGACUCCUACGGGAGGCAGCAGUAGGGAAUCUUCGGCAAUGGACGGAAGUCUGACCGAGCAACGCCGCGUGAGUGAAGAAGGUUUUCGGAUCGGAAAGCUCUGUUGUAAGAGAAGAACGAGUGUGAGAGUGGAAAGUUCACACUGUGACGGUAUCUUACCAGAAAGGGACGGCUAACUACGUG